UACCCCCUUCUUCAAAAAAAAACCCAAAUAACCAAGAGAAAAAAAAAUCGACAUCCACAAAAAUCUCACUUUUCCAAUCGAAAUUAUAAGAAUUAAAAAAACAAGUGCGGGAGUCAGAUCGAUCUGAAGAAACGAAGAAAUUCUCCACUAGGAGGAGUAAGUUAACGCAUGGAACCAAUGAUUCAUCUAAAUCGGGGUUGGGUAAUCCAGAUCUUGGACGAUUUUUGCUAAAGCAAGCAAGAGAUUUGGUUUCUUUGGGAGAUAAUCCCUAGAAAGCUGUUGAAUUAGCCAGAUCAUGGUUCGCUUUUACGGAACGGACAUCUCACUCCUUGUAAAGAUUAUCACGGGAAUAGCUUCAUUAUUUUACACGAAAUCUGAUGUAAAUGGAAACCUUGCUUCUACUUGUGUAAUCCUUUAUGUUCCCAACAUCUCACCUCAGUUGAUUUCCUUUCCAACCCGAUUGCAAGCAACUGAAGAUAUGAUAAGUACCGGAUAUGGAAUGCUGGGUUUUGGGAGUUGAAUUUUGGAAGGCAAAUUCAUGGUCUGGAUAUGGGUCACAGUGAGAGAAAAACUUCAUGUGGAAAUGUAGUGAGAUUCUUGCAGCUGCAUCAGAUGGCAAGUGCAACUAUUCGAUUGUUGUGAUUUUCUAGUUUAAGAGAUUACUGACCCAUGCUUCUCAUUCAAGGCUGCUCCAUCAUUUCACCAGAGUGUCAAUGGCAGAAGUCACCCACUGCGCUUUGUUCUUGGUGAAAUGGCAGCUGGACUCCUCAUAAUUUCCAUCUUUACCAAAUUCCUUAGUGAAAAGGACCUUCCCAGUUUUUAUCUUCGUAGUAAUUUUGAUUCAAAUACGAUGUGAUAUAUACGAUGCUCGCUCUAGAUAGAACACGUUGUGAUAUAUACAAUGCGGCCUUGCCCUGUUCAAAGCUGUUCUUGAGUUAGAAUUCUUGUCUUGCUAGAAGGGGUGGAACAAACUUGUGUCCCUCUGGAGGGUGGUGGGCAGAGGCUUAUCCGAUAAUUUGAACAAAAGUCAUCAUUUCUUAA